CGCUAGAGCAUCUCUAGUUUUACACCCAUCGACCCCCGGCCAGCGGAUACGCUCGUCGGCUCUGCUUCCUGUCAAGCUGCAAUUACAAGGCCGCGGUCAACAUCCUCGCUGUUUGCACAGCAUGCUUAACAUGUGAAGAGUAGCUGCGUGUGCGCUCUACGUCAUCAGGGCCGGUAUCAUGUGACGUUUCUAGUCAGUGUGUUUUCCUCGCGUUUCGUCGCUGGUCCGAACGGGGCAUCGCCUUUGCCCACCACCAGGGCCUGCCAGGGAUUCGUGAGCGGUAGGUGGUGCGAAAGAAACAGAUUGAGCUCAAGAAAUUUUUCAGUUAUGCCGGCCCAAAAUGUAAUUUGUCCCUUUCGAUAAUGUAUCGCCUUCUGCGCUUUUUCAAGGGAAAAGAA